CUGAGCAUAUUACAGUCUUCCUUUCCUCUCUCAGGAGGUACUGCUCAGAGCUCCCUGCUAACACUGUACCUUUCCAAGGAGAAAAUCCUGCAUCCCGCCUUUCAGCUUAAAGAAUUAAAGAGCGAAAAAAACUCAGAGUAACCCCCCAAGACGAGAAAGACCUUCGUGCUCAACAACCAGCACUUGUUCCAGGGUGCUUCUCUGCUGCUACCUGUGGAGAAUUCCCUCCUUGAAAACCCUCCCGGCUUUGAUGUUGAGCAUAACAGCAGAGUUUCCUUGGAGACAAGAGAGACGCAUAGGCAGAGCCGUGCCGUGGGGGACCGAGCAGCCGUGUGGACCAUGAGCGAGCAGAGCCACGUCAACAGCCUGUUCCUCAACGAGGACGCGGCGAAGCGGCUCGGCGCUGAGAGCCGGGUGCAGCGCCUGCGGCAGGCGGUGCAGAAGCGCGCGGCCCGGGCCAAGAAGCGAAUGCACAGCAUCACUGCUGACAGCGCCAAGAGCUUCCUCAGGAGAAACGCCUUCGUCCUCUUCACCAUUGCUGCAGUCCUACUAGGGAUCAUCCUGGCCUUUUCUCUCCGGCCCUACCAGCUGACCUAUCGCCAGAUCAAGUACUUUUCCUUCCCCGGCGAGCUGCUGAUGCGCAUGCUCCAGAUGCUGGUUCUUCCUCUCAUUGUCUCCAGCUUGAUCACAGGAAUGGCCUCACUGGAUGGCAGAGCCUCGGGGAAGAUGGGGAUGCGGGCUGUUGUUUACUACAUGGUGACCACAAUCAUAGCAGUGUUCAUUGGCAUCCUCAUGGUGAUCAUCAUCCACCCAGGGAAAGGAUCUAAGGACAAGCUUCACCGAGAAGGCAGAAUUGAGCAGGUGCAGACCACAGAUGCCUUCAUGGACUUGGUGAGGAACAUGUUCCCGCCCAACCUGGUAGAAGCCUGCUUCAAACAGUACAAGACGCAGUACAGCACCAGGGUGUUCACCAGAACCGUCCUCCACAGCAGCAAUGUCACGGCAGGCGUGACAACCACUCAGAUCCCUGCGCCGGAGAACUUCACCGGCAUCCUGGAGAACGUCACUCAUGCCCUGGGGACCAUCUCCGAGGUGCUGACCUUUGAAGAAGUCAUUCCCAUCCCGGGCUCAGCCAAUGGGGUGAACGCGCUGGGGCUGGUAGUGUUCUCCAUGUGCUUCGGUUUGGUGAUCGGCAGCAUGAAGCAGAAGGGACGGGCCCUGCGGGAGUUCUUUAACUGCCUCAACGAAGCCAUCAUGAGGCUGGUGGCCAUUAUCAUCUGGUAUGCUCCAGUUGGGAUCAUGUUUUUAAUUGCUGGCAAAAUUCUGGAGAUGGAUGACCUAGCAGUGAUGGGAGGCCAGCUGGGGAUGUACACGCUCACCGUCAUCGUUGGACUUCUCAUUCACGCCCUCUGCAUCCUGCCACUGCUCUACUUCAUCGUCACUCACAGGAACCCCUGGGUAUUCAUUGCAGGGCUGCUGCAGGCCCUCAUCACAGCCCUGGGCACCUCCUCCAGCUCAGCGACUCUGCCCAUCACCUUCAGGUGCCUGGAAGAAAACAAUGGUGUGGACAGGCGCAUCACGAGGUUUGUCCUGCCCGUGGGAGCUACGAUUAACAUGGAUGGCACUGCUCUGUACGAGGCCCUUGCAGCCAUCUUCAUUGCACAAGUCAACAACUACGAACUUGACUUCGGGCAGAUCAUCACAAUAAGCAUCACUGCUACAGCAGCCAGCAUUGGAGCCGCAGGCAUUCCCCAGGCAGGGCUGGUGACAAUGGUGAUAGUGUUGACAUCAGUGGGGCUGCCUACCGAAGACAUUACGCUGAUCAUCGCUGUGGACUGGUUUCUGGACCGCCUCAGAACCACCACCAACGUCCUGGGGGACUCUCUGGGGGCCGGCAUCGUGGAGCAUCUCUCCCGGCACGAGCUGGAUGCGCAGGACUGCGAACUUGGUAAUUGUGAGCUAGAGAAAGAGCAGCUCUCUCACCUGGUUUGCCCACAGCACAACACCCACAGGCACCCCAGGAGGGAGACAGUGCUGUGAAGUUGGGCAGCAGAGUGCAGAUUAGUGCUGUAAAAAGCCAAGACUUGAAAGGGGGUCCAUAGUGGAGGACAGAGAAAGAUCUACUCUCCAAGAUGCACACUUUUCCCCCCUCCAUCUGCCACAUGCAGUCUUCCCUGAUCCUGUUUCUCCCCCAUCUCUUUCUGACUGGCAUUAAAGAGGAGAAAAUUAAACUGCAAAGAAAGUUUUAUUCCACGAAAGCCUGAUUUAGUCAUUCUUAUGUGGUCUGAGAGUUCGACCUGAGCCAAGAAGACCCAGUGAAUGAGUUGGACUAGGAGCUCCUUCAUUUCUGAGCUAAAGUUUGAGCACAGCAAACUGGCAAGGUGGGUUGGGGACACCACCACAUGUGGACUGGCACCAAAAUGUUGCCAUGAUGACUCCAUCUUUCAGGAUACAGCCGCAAAGCCUUCCCUUGGUCAGUGAUGUUUGCACUGAUAUGCAGAUUAUGCUUCCUGAGAGCUUCUCAUGCCUCUGGCAACCCUUCUGGCUGCAGAUACUAGUCACCCAGCUCCUGAAGGAACAUACAGCAGGGGCAGGGCUUCCUGUGUUGGCUGGUAGCAAAAAUAGGGGUCAAUAGGCUUUUCAGGAGUGGAAGCUGCUGAAGGACUGGGAAAGCAGCAAACCAUUAAAGAAUUCAUUAUAUCCAUUAUUCAGCCUCUGAAACAGCUCUCCCUUCUACCAAGCUCUGCCAAACACCAGUUAACUUCAGUUCUUGUUAGCAAGCUCUUCUCCUCUUGGUGAAACCAGAAGGGGAAAUGCAAAGUUUAGGAGCAGUUUGCUCACCCGAGCGGCUGGGUGGUACCUCUGUGCCAGGAAUGCCUCCCUGCCACCUCCAGAGCUGCUCAGCAAACGGUUUCACUCCUCAUCGUAAGACUCCUGAGGAAACUGUUCCUUUGCUCAUCUUUGGCUAUUUUCAGAAGUGAAUUCCCUUCGGUCACAUUGCUCCAGAACGUGCUUCCAAAUCCCUCUGUCUUUCUACAGCUCCUCAUCUUUAACAGGCAGUCCCCAGUCGCUUCUCAGCACUUGUACAAGUUUGCCAGACCUCAAACUUAUAAAUUCAGGACAAUUUCUCAGUUCCUACCAAAUGGAGCUCAGCUUCUGGUUAGCACACUUGGACAUAAGCCCACGUGACGGCUGAAACAUCUCAGAGGCUCAAGCAAGAAGUAGGGACCUGCUUCAUCCAUGCUCUAUCCCCCUCCCCUGGCGUGGCCAGGAACACAGCCUGUAUCUCUCAUUCCUGUGAACAGGAUCAGCAAGGCUUGCUCCAUAAUAUCCAGGUCCAUGAACAUCCAGAAGAUGAAUGUCUAGACACAACCAGGAAGAUGUAAAAGAGUCACAGUUUGGGGGCUACUGCAGGGUAGCUGUCCUGCUUUAGAAACGGCUGAGCUCAGGCACAGCAGCAGGCAGCCUCCUGCUGCACAGCUGAACUGUCUGAACUGGGCAGCUUUUGCUUGAGGUCUGCUCAUUCUUCCAAACCCAGCAGCUCACUUUAACCCCUCUCCCCCGACUUUCCACACUGAUCUUUUCCAUCCAGAAGAUCUAUCCAUACACUCAGAGGUGCAGCUGAGUGGACCUCACUUAGGAAGGAAGACCUCAGAGACUAUUUGUCCAACUUCUCAAGGAAGCAUUGAAUUCUGAUCCCGAAGAGACUUCCUGUGUGUAAAGGGCAAACUGAUGAAUUUGGAAGAAAAGAUUGUUGGAUUGGACUCUAGCUCAAAUGGAAUGAAUCCUGGGAAGUCCUAUGGCUUGGGUUAUACAGACAGCUGAACUAGAUGAUCAUAAGGGUCCCUUCUGGCUUUAUAAUAUAUGCACGUGCUUUCUGGUUUAGAGAUAUUGCAAACGGUCCUUCCACCCUGAUCAUUUUUAAGAGCUAUGUGGAAGGAUCCUAAUGAUACUUUAAGACAACUCAGCAGGAGUCUAAGCUGUGUUCUGUUGCUGUUAGCAGACAUGUAAACAUAUGGCACAAGGGGCUCUCCAUCCCACGCUGCAUCACCGUGUGCCCACAAAGAUGUUCCCACAAAGUAGUACCCUCCCAGCCCUGCCACUGGUGAUUUCCUGCUUUCAGCACAAGAUUAGUGGAGCACAAACAAGUAGAGGCCUCAUUUUCAAAUAUUGCAAACCACUCUCCCAUGGGGAAUUUCAGAACUCAGCUCAUAGUUUCUAGCUCUGGUGCUUACCCAUGUUGUUAACCCAUUUCUGAUUGGGAUUAUCUAUCUGUUUACAGUACCCGACCAGUAAGUGUUGUCAGGAAUAUAUAUAUAUGUGUGUAUAUAUAUACACACACACUUCUCUCUCCAUAUAUAUAUGAAAGGGACAUGUGCACAGAUGUACAUACACACAGAGUUAAUUUUUUUGUGGCUAAUCCAAGAAGGAAAGGCAGUAGUGAACUCUCAGGCUGUAAAGCUGCAUACUUCACUUCAAUGCCCACCUUGGUUUACCCAACUAAUCCCAUCCCUAAAACAACAGAGGCUGUUUUACUUCAUUCCAGUAAUGAGCCUUCCAAAGCUUACCAGGAAGGAGCUCGAUGCACGCUGAUUUUCAGUUGUACUUGCUGGUGACACAAGAACUUCUCGAUAUACAGAGAAAUUUCUCCACUUUGAUUUCUGUGCACGUAUCCCAAGGACAUACAUCCUCCCUGCAUCAGACUUGGCAAGGAGGCAGGCUUGCAGAGCUCAAGACAAGUCUGUUUGUGCUCCUUCCAAACCCAGUGCUGACCUUGUACUAACUCAGCCUUCAAAACUGGAUAACUGAAAGUAUUAAAUCAUUUUAUCAACUGCCUUUUUAAAUUAUCAGAUAGUUGAGAGUUUGUGCAUCUUUCCUGCUGCUUCCACUUGUAGAAACCUUUUGAGUUUCUCCUAUUUGCAAAUGGAUUUAUUUCUAAUGAUUAGACGGGCAACAUUUGGGAUGAGAGGGCUGACUCAAUGCAUACGUACACGAGGAGCUCUUGGAUUAGGACACGUCUCUUCAAAAUUAACUUUGAGAGAGAAAAUCCAUGAAGAAAACGGGUUUUCACAUGACAGGCCGUGUGUCACGUUACAAAUGUGGUGUGUGCACAUUGUUUCGGGAGCCAGAUGUGCCCAGGAAAACCGCCCUGCAAUUGGAUGUCCUCCUUUUGCUCUGCCCGGGGAAGUAAGUGGUGAUGGAAAUGGGCACUGCACAGUGUGUUCCCAGCAUCCCGGCAGUUUGGCUGUGUAAUUCCUGAGGGCUUUUUUUUUCUGCUGUGAGUUUCGGUGUUAAUACAGAUCAUUUGCAUAUUUGAAAAAUAAAGGGAAUUUUUUUCCACA